GUUUGCUUGCGAUUUACUUAUAUACAAUAUUUAAUCUUUUGUUAACUUAGUUAAUGAUGAAUACUUGUAUUGUUCUAUAGGAUGCAUUAGCUGAAACACAUAGAGAUGAGGACAUAUUGACUGAGUCAUUGGGCUCUAAGGAGCAUGGUGGACGUGUACGUGGCAUGGGUGGUUUUGUCUCUCAAUCACUAUAUUUCAAGACAGUGAAAGGGAAAGAGAAAAUUGCAAGUUCUCAAGUUGUAGAAGAUGACUCAAAAAGCAAAAGUUACAAAAAGGGUCAUAAUCACUUGAGAUCGUCCAUCAGAAGUGUUAACAUAGAUCUCUAUGCCGAUGAGGAUUUGGGCAACACACCUAUGAACGAAGAAGUGAAGGAGGAGAUUGUAGUUUACCUAUUCCAGUGAAGGGCAAGAUAGAGACUUUAAAUCAAGCAUUAGAUAUCUUUGGGAUGAAUGUGAUUGUGGAAGCAAGUUUUUUGUUAUGACCAAGCAAAAAUAACAUCACAUAUCAAGGAUCGUGAUCUCCGAUCCAGAAAUUUUGCCAACCAGUUAGAAGUGGCUACCUUGGAACAAAUAGUUCUAAUUCCGUAUAAUACUGGGUAAAUAAAUAAGAUUAACACAUUAUUAUGUUUUUCAUUGAGGUUAAAUGUAUACUCACAUUGAAGAUGUUUAUUGUAGUUUUCAUUGGAUGUUGCAUGUCAUCGAUCUUCGAGAGAACUGUGUUUAUGUUUUGGAC